UUAAUGGAGAGUUUGAUCCUGGCUCAGGACGAACGCUGGCGGCGUGCCUAAUACAUGCAAGUCGAGCGGAUCGUUCCUUCGGGGACGGUUAGCGGCGGACGGGUGAGUAACACGUAGGCAACCUGCCUGUAAGAUCGGGAUAACUACCGGAAACGGUAGCUAAGACCGGAUGAGUGGUUUUCUCGCAUGAGGAGAUCAAGAAACACGGGGCAA
rnacentral:rRNA from 1 species